rnacentral:lncRNA from 11 species
GGAAUAAAUGAGCUGAAUGCCUUGAAAGAACAGCAACCCCACUCUCCAAGGAUCAUGGAAACAACAUUAUGUUAAACCUGGCAGAGAAGCAACGCCUCCCUCCCUUCCCAGGAUCCCGAAGUACUGUCUCCAACAGGAUUCUGAAGACCCGCAACGCAAAGAGUCCCUCUCCCUGAAGAUAAGACCCAGGUAAGGAGAUUCCACCUGAACAUUAGGAAGAAUUUCC